rnacentral:rRNA from 1 species
GUGCAGCAGGCGCGAAAACUCCGCAAUGGGCGAAAGCCCGACGGGGUUACCCCGAGUGCCACCCUCGUGGUGGCUUUUGCCCGCUGUAAAAAGGCGGGCGAAUAAGGGGAGGGCAAGUCGGGUGUCAGCCGCCGCGGUAAUACCCGCUCCCCGAGUGGUGGAGACUUUUACUGGGCCUAAAGCGCCCGUAGCCGGCCCUGUGUGUCCCUCGUUAAAUCCGCAGGCUUAACCUGCGGGCUGCGGGGGAUACUGCAGGGCUUGGGGGUGGGAGAGGCGCUCGGUAUUCCCGGGGUAGGGGUAAAAUCCUCUGAUCCCGGGAGGACCACCAGUGGCGAAGGCGGAGCGCCAGAACACGCCCGACGGUGAGGGGCGAAAGCUGGGGGAGCAAACGGGAUUAGAUACCCCGGUAGUCC